rnacentral:rRNA from 1 species
CUACGAGAGGCUGCAGUGGGGAAUAUUGCACAAUGGAGGAAACUCUGAUGCAGCAACGCCGCGUGGAGGAUGACACUUUUCGGAGCGUAAACUCCUUUUAUAUAGGAAGAAGAUGACAGUACUAUAUGAAUAAGCGCCGGCUAACUCCGUGCCAGCAGCCGCGGUAAUACGGAGGGCGCAAGCGUUACUCGGAAUCACUGGGCGUAAAGAGCGUGUAGGCGGAUUAAAAAGUCAGAAGUGAAAUCCUAUAGCUUAACUAUAGAGCUGCUUCUGAAACUCUUAAUCUAGAAUAUGGGAGAGGUAGAUGGAAUUUCUGGUGUAGGGGUAAAAUCCGUAGAGAUCAGAAGGAAUACCGAUUGCGAAGGCGAUCUACUAGAACAUUAUUGACGCUGAGACGCGAAAGCGUGGGGAGCAAACAGGAUUAGAUACCCCGGUAGUC